GACGAACGCUGGCGGCGUGCCUAAUACAUGCAAGUCGAACGCACAGUUUAUACCGCUGCUUGCUACACCAUAGACUGUGAGUCGCGAACGGGUGAGCAAAGCGUCGGGAACCUGCCUGGUAGCGCGGGAUAACUAUUGGAAACGAAAGCCAUUACCGCAUAAUAUUAAUUAUUGUAUGAUAAUAAAUUGAAAGGUGCAAUCGCACCACCACCACAUGGACCUGCGUUGUAUUAGCUAGUAGGUGAGGGAACGGCUCACCUAGGCCACGGUACAUAACCGACCUGAGAAGGGGAUCGGCGCCACUGAGACGGAGCCACGGCCCCGGACCCUACGGGAGGGAGCAGGAGGGGAACUUGGGCAAUGGACGGAAGUCUGACCGAGAGACGCCGCGUGAGUGAAGUAGGGUUUCGGAUCGUAAAGCUCCGUUGUAAGAGAAGAACGGGUGUUAGAGUGGAAAGUUCACAUUGUGACGGUAUCUUACCAGAAAGCUACGGCUAACUACGUG
rnacentral:rRNA from 1 species